AUUUCUAUAGUUGAAUUACAACGAUGAUUUUUCAUGUCAUAGGUCAUGGGUAUACCAUGUAGAAAUA
rnacentral:tRNA from 1 species